CUCCGGUUGAUCCUGCCGGACCCGACUGCUAUCAGAGUGGGACUAAGCCAUGCGAGUCGACGUAGCAAUGCGUGGCGAACGGCUCAGUAACACGUAGUCAACAUGCCCAGGGGACGUGGAUAACCUCGGGAAACUGAGAAUAAACCACGAUAGGUCACGAUUUCUGGAAUGGAUCAUGGCCUAAAUCUACAUGGCCCCUGGAUUGGACUGCGGCCGAUCAGGCUGUUGGUGAGGUAAUGGCCCACCAAACCUAUAACCGGUACGGGCUCUGAGAGGAGAAGCCCGGAGAUGGGCACUGAGACACGGACCCAGGCCCUAUGGGGCGCAGCAGGCGAGAAACCUUAGCAAUGUGCGAAAGCACGACUGGGUCAGUCCGAGUGAUUCCUGAUAAAGGAGUCUUUUGCUUGUCCUAAAAGCACAGGUGAAUAAGGGGUGGGCAAGUCUGGUGUCAGCCGCCGCGGUAAUACCAGCACCUCGAGUGGUCAGGACGUUUAUUGGGCCUAAAGCAUCCGUAGCCGGCUCUGCAAGUCUUCGGUUAAAUCCACCUGCUCAACAGAUGGGCUGCUGGAGAUACUACAGAGCUAGGGAGUGGGAGAGGCAGACGGUAUUCAGUGGGUAGGGGUAAAAUCCUCUGAUCCAUUGAGGACCACCAGUGGCGAAGGCGGUCUGCCAGAACACGUUCGACGGUGAGGGAUGAAAGCUGGGGGAGCAAACCGGAUUAGAUACCCGGGUAGUCCCAGCUGUAAACGAUGCAAACUCGGUGAUGCAUUGGCUUAUGGCCAAUGCAGUGCCGCAGGGAAGCCGUUAAGUUUGCCGCCUGGGAAGUACGGACGCAAGUCUGAAACUUAAAGGAAUUGGCGGGGGAGCA
rnacentral:rRNA from 1 species